UACGUAGGGUGCAGGCGUUAAUCGGAAUUACUGGGCGUAAAGCGUGCGCAGGCGGUUUUGUAAGCCAGAUGUGAAAUCCCCGGGCUCAACCUGGGAAUGGCAUUUGGGACUGCAAGGCUGGAGUACGGCAGAGGAGACUGGAAUUCCUGGUGUAGCAGUGAAAUGCGUAGAUAUCAGGAGGAAUACCGAUGGCGAAGGCAGGUCUCUGGGCUGAUACUGACGCUCAUGCACGAAAGCGUGGGGAGCAAACAGG
rnacentral:rRNA from 1 species